AUGUUAGGAGUUUGUUACGAACUGUUUUUGGUUAUGAAAGUUGGACAAUUAGUGAAUUCGGUUAGGAGAGCAAGAGUUAUGGUUAUUUCUGUUAUGGUUAGCUUUGCUAUUGCUAAUACAGUGUGGUGGCAAGAGGAUGAAGGGCCUGAGCUUCAAAGCUGGAAAUUUAAUAUGCAAGGGUAUUCUUGGUUGCUUUCUCGAUUAUGGAUUUACUUUGGUUCUGUAUUAAUGUGCAGGGCUGAAAAUUGUAUGAAGGCUCGAGCAAGCUUGGCAAAGGCAUGA